AGCAGAGUGGCUUAGUGGUUAGCACGCUUGCCUGCCAUUUCCAGGAUUCAGGGUUCGAUUCCCACCUCUGCCG